rnacentral:rRNA from 1 species
GACGAACGCUGGCGGCGUGCUUAACACAUGCAAGUCGAACGGAAAGGCCCUGCUUUUGUGGGGUUCUCGAGUGGCGAACGGGUGUGUAACACGUGAGUAACCUGCCCUUGACUUUGGGAUAACUUCAGGAAACUGGGGCUAAUACCGGAUAGGAGCUCCUGCUGCAUGGUGGGGGUUGGAAAGUUUCGGCGGUUGGGGAUGGACUCGCGGCUUAUCAGCUUGUUGGUGGGGUAGUGGCUUACCAAGGCUUUGACGGGUAGCCGGCCUGAGAGGGUGACCGGCCACAUUGGGACUAGGAUACGGCCCAGACUCCUACGGGAGGCAGCAGUGGGGAAUAUUGCACAAUGGGCGGAAGCCGGAUGCAGCAACGCCGCGUGCGGGAUGACGGCCUUCGGGUUGUAAACCGCUUUCGCCUGUGACGAAGCGUGAGUGACGGUAAUGGGUAAAGAAGCACCGGCUAACUACGUG